AGCCAGAGAUUGGUGGAGGCAAAGCUGAGGGAGUGCAGCAGGAGGUGUCACGGGAAGGAAAGUGGUGACAGUUACAGGGAAGUGGGACUGUAUUUCCUUCGAGGACUCACUCUUUUCCCUAUGAGCAGAAGGCUGCUAAUAGAAGUGACAGUGAUUCCAGCUUCUGGUGUGUGAGACGAAUACUGCUGUCUCACUUGAGGGGUCUACAUUUUUCAAUCAGAAAAAAAAUAAAGGAGACUAUGUAUUAGAAGGGCAUUAGCAGAGCUUUGCCACACAAGACUGACAGCAAAGUGCUGAGAGUACAAAAGACAACACAAGGCAAACAUCUGUUCAAAUAAAGGGAGUUAGAGAACUGC